GAAAUUAGCCUUCAUGAAGUCGGAAUUGCUAGUAAUGGCAGGUCAGCAUACUGCCGUGAAUACGUUCCCGGGCCUUGUACACACCGCCCGUCACACCAUGAGAGUUGGAGAUACCCGAAGCCUGUGAGCUAACUUUUAGAGGCAGCAGUCGAAGGUAGAAUCAAUGAUUGGGGUGAAGUCGUAACAAGGUAGC
rnacentral:rRNA from 1 species